UACAGAGGGUGCGAGCGUUAAUCGGAAUGACUGGGCGUAAAGGGUGUGUAGGUGGUUUGAUAAGUUAGGUGUGAAAGUCCUGGGCUUAACCUGGGGAGGUCGCUUAAGACUGUCGAGCUAGAGUACUGUAGAGGAAGGUGGAAUUUCCGGAGUAGCAGUGAAAUGCGUAGAUAUCGGAAGGAACAUCAGUGGCGAAGGCGACUUUCUGGACAGAUACUGACACUGAGGCACGAAAGCGUGGGGAGCGAACAGG
rnacentral:rRNA from 1 species